rnacentral:rRNA from 1 species
AUUGAACGCUGGCGGCAUGCCUUACACAUGCAAGUCGAACGGUAACGGGCCUUCGGGUGCCGACGAGUGGCGAACGGGUGAGUAAUACAUCGGAACGUGCCCGAUCGUGGGGGAUAACGAGGCGAAAGCUUUGCUAAUACCGCAUACGAUCUACGGAUGAAAGCAGGGGACCGCAAGGCCUUGCGCGGACGGAGCGGCCGAUGGCAGAUUAGGUAGUUGGUGGGAUAAAAGCUUACCAAGCCGACGAUCUGUAGCUGGGCUGAGAGGGUGAUCAGCCACACUGGGACUGAGACACGGCCCAGACUCCUACGGGAGGCAGCAGUGGGGAAUUUUGGACAAUGGGCGCAAGCCUGAUCCAGCCAUGCCGCGUGCAGGAUGAAGGCCUUCGGGUUGUAAACUGCUUUUGUACGGAACGAAAAGCCUUCUUUUAAUACAGGAGGGUCAUGACGGUACCGUAAGAAUAAGCACCGGCUAACUACGUG